CUGGCCUGGUUGGGCUUUUCCCGCCUCUGGUUGCUUUUCUGCCUUUCUAGUUUUUGGGUUACCAGAUAGAAGGCUUGGCCUCAGUUUUGGCCUCGCCUUUUUGCUCUUUCUAACGAGCACGAAGGGGCGAUAGGGACGCGGAGGACACCUUUAUUCUUGGCUGGUUCUAGCAUGCUGCUUCAUGUCCCCUGGAGCAGCGUGCCCUUCUGAAAACCUGUGGCUAAAUGUCUCUUCUGUUUAUAUCAGGCGUGUUACACCUUCACACGCACUAGGGAUCCAGGUAAGCCCAGCGGCCCGAACGUCAUUACUGACUGGUGACACUGCAGUAAGUAAACCUUUUUUGCCGAACACUUCAUAAGCACAGUCAGGUACUCCGUGGGUCAUAGCCCAGCGGACAAUUUAAGUAUAAAUGAUAUACACCAAGAUAGACAAUCUCGAUAGCUGUAUUUAGGGUACCAUCCCUUUAGGUAUUACGUUUUGGUCGAGUUUGGAAAAGAUCUGUAUGAUUUCACACGCAGUAUUUGACACAGGCAGGUGGGGCACCUGAGGCCAAUUAAAGGCCUUCUGGGAACUGUAGUUCUCUUUGGUUAACUAUUCCAGAGCUUUCUGGGAAUUGUAGUUUUCCC
rnacentral:lncRNA from 1 species